UUCAACGGCCGCGGUAUCCUAACCGUGCAAAGGUAGCAUAAUCACUUGCCCAUUAAUUGUGGGCUAGAAUGAAAGGAUUAACGAAAUAAAAGCUGUCUCUAUAAGACCCCNUAAAAAUUACCCUUUAACCGAAGAGUGUUAAAUAGCGUCGAAGGACAAGAAGACCCUAUAGAGCUUAAUUAAAAUAAAUACAUAAANNAUUUACUAAAANUUCGGUUGGGGCGACCAGGGAAANUUACUAAUCAUCCCUAAGUAAAANGAUAAAUUAAUCUAACCAUUNNGACCCUUAANUCAAGAUCACUAAAACAAGCUACCUUAGGGAUAACAGGCUAAUCUUACUAGAGAGUUCUUAUCAAUAGUGGGGUUUGGCACCUCGAUGUUGGCUUAGGGAAUCUAUGUGGCGCAAAAGUCACAUAAAGAUGGUUUGUUCAA
rnacentral:rRNA from 1 species